rnacentral:tRNA from 1 species
GCCUGGGUAGCUCAGUCGGUUGAGUGUCUGACUUCGGCUCAGGUCAUGAUCUCACAGCUCGUGAGUUCGAGCCCCACAUUGGGCU